rnacentral:snRNA from 1 species
CCGGUGCGCCCCCGGCGG